AGAGUUUGAUCAUGGCUCAGAUUGAACGCUGGCGGUAUGCCUAACACAUGCAAGUCGAACGAGGUAGCAAUACCUAGUGGCGGACGGGUGAGGAAUACGUAGGGAUCUGCCCUUAAGUGGGGGAUAACCCGGGGAAACCCGGAUUAAUACCGCAUGAUCUCGCAAGAGCAAAGAGGGGGACCGCAAGGCCUCUCGCUUUUGGAGGAACCUACGUCGGAUUAGCUAGUUGGUGAGGUAAUGGCUCACCAAGGCGAUGAUCCGUAACUGGUCUGAGAGGAUGAUCAGUCACACCGGAACUGAGACACGGUCCGGACUCCUACGGGAGGCAGCAGUGGGGAAUAUUGGACAAUGGGCGAAAGCCUGAUCCAGCAAUACCGCGUGUGUGAAGAAGGCCUUCGGGUUGUAAAGCACUUUAAGUUGGGAAGAAAAAGCUUCACCUAAUACGUGAAGCCUUGACGGUACCGACAGAAUAAGCACCGGCUAACUCUGUGCCAGCAGCCGCGGUAAUACAGAGGGUGCUAGCGUUAAUCGGAUUUACUGGGCGUAAAGCGUGCGUAGGUGGUUUGAUAAGUCGAUUGUGAAAGCCCCGGGCUUAACCUGGGAAUUGCGGUCGAUACUGUCAGACUCGAAAACGGUAGAGGGAGGUGGAACUCCAGGUGUAGCGGUGAAAUGCGUAGAUAUCUGGAAGAACACCGAUGGCGAAGGCAGCUUCCUGGGCCUGUUUUGACACUGAGGCACGAAAGCGUGGGUAGCAAACAGGAUUAGAUACCCUGGUAGUCC
rnacentral:rRNA from 1 species